AAUUAGAUCACAGGCAGAGGGGAGGAUUUUUGUGUGUAAUUGCUGGGAGUGUUUCUGUAAUGUACGUUUAUUAUUGGCUGUUGUGUAAAACCCUGUGGGUGGUCCUAUCUCAGGGAAACCUGCAUAAAAGAAGGUUCUUUGUGUGCCAAUAAACAGAAUGACUUGACCCUCUAACUUGCAGCCUUGAGUCAUGUUUGUAGGGGACAGCUAUAAUCACUACAGGGAUUGCUAUGCUCCUCAUACUCCCUUAACUACUGAGCUCUUGUAAGAGCUCUUGUUCCUGAUCCUGCUUCGCUCUACAGAAGGAAGGGAUUCACCUACUGGAGCCUGGUCAUAGGUCCAGGGCGGAUAGCAGACGGCGAGAUCCUAGCCCAGCAGCGGUGGUUUGUUGAGUCUGCAGUACUUAUGGUGUCUACGCAGUACUUAUGGUGUCUACGGUGCUGAUGGU